rnacentral:ncRNA from 1 species
CGCAGGUUUCUCGAAAGGGAAUUAAAUGGGAAUCGGGUGCAAGUCCCGAACAGUCCCGCUGCUGUAACUCCACGAAAGGCGUCGCCGCCACUGAGUAAUUGGGAAGGAAGCGACAAUGUGCCGGAGAAGUCAGAAGACCAGCCAGUGAAA